AAACAACUUAUUACUACUACUACUACUACCAAUUCUCGUCCGAUCACUGAAGUCAAGCAGCGUUGGGCACGGUUAGUACUUGGAUGGGUGACCGCUUGGGAACACCGUGUGACGUUGGCAC
rnacentral:rRNA from 1 species